UAUUUUGCCUAUUUAACAGACAGACACCUAAUCAAGUCUCUGUGUGGUGAAUAAGAGAGAAUAUU
rnacentral:pre_miRNA from 1 species